CGGCUAACGAGGCUGCUGCACUCCGGGUUCCCCAGCACCUUCCGUUUGGUCUUUGGCGCCCGCCUGUCGUCCCCAGAGCGCCUCUUUGGAUUUUCAAGAUCGUGAGAGGUAGCUGGCCAACCAGAAUUCUUAAGGUUCGAAGCCUGUACCCACUGCCGCCACUUGAGCCUGCCAAAGCACUGGUACAGCUGCUGCCCUCUCACUACUACCUCUAGAAACAGUCUUGCCAGUAGUGACAGCAGCGAGACCCAAUCACCCCGUUCUCGCCCUCCCUCAAGAAGCUCCAGAUGGCGUCUUCCAUGGGCGACGUGGCUGAUAGCACAGAACCAACGAAAUGUAUGUUUUCCUUCCAAGGGUUAGCUGAGUUGGCACAUCGGGAAUAUCAGGCAGGAGAUUUUGAGGCAGCUGAGAGACACUGCAUGCAGCUGUGGAGACAAGAGCCAGACAAUACUGGUGUGCUUUUAUUACUUUCAUCUAUACACUUCCAGUGUCGAAGGCUGGACAGAUCUGCUCACUUUAGCACUCUGGCAAUUAAACAGAACCCCUUUCUGGCAGAAGCCUAUUCGAAUUUGGGGAAUGUGUACAAGGAAAGAGGACAGUUGCAGGAAGCAGUUGAGCAUUACCGGCAUGCAUUGCGUCUCAAACCAGAUUUCAUCGAUGGUUAUAUUAACCUGGCAGCCGCAUUGGUAGCAGCAGGUGACAUGGAAGGGGCAGUACAAGCUUAUGUCUCUGCUCUUCAGUACAAUCCUGAUUUGUACUGUGUUCGCAGUGACCUGGGGAACCUGCUGAAAGCCCUGGGUCGCUUGGAAGAAGCAAAGGCAUGUUAUUUGAAAGCAAUUGAGACGCAACCGAACUUUGCAGUAGCUUGGAGUAAUCUUGGCUGUGUUUUCAACGCGCAAGGGGAAAUAUGGCUUGCAACUCAUCACUUUGAAAAGGCUGUCACCCUUGAUCCCAAUUUUCUGGAUGCUUAUAUCAAUUUAGGAAAUGUCUUGAAAGAGGCACGGAUUUUUGACAGAGCUGUGGCAGCUUACCUCCGUGCUCUAAGCUUGAGUCCCAAUCAUGCAGUGGUGCAUGGCAACCUGGCUUGUGUAUACCAUGAGCAAGGCCUGAUAGAUCUGUCAAUAGACACCUACAGGCGAGCUAUUGAACUGCAGCCACAUUUCCCUGAUGCUUACUGCAACCUAGCCAAUGCUCUUAAAGAGAAGGGCAGUGUUACUGAAGCAGAAGACUGUUAUAAUACAGCUCUUCAGCUGUGUCCCACACAUGCAGACUCUCUGAAUAAUCUUGCCAAUAUCAAACGAGAACAGGGGAACAUUGAAGAGGCAGUUUGCUUGUAUCGCAAAGCAUUAGAAGUCUUCCCAGAAUUUGCUGCUGCCCAUUCAAAUUUAGCAAGCGUACUGCAACAGCAGGGAAAACUGGAGGAAGUGCUGAUGCAUUAUAAGGAGGCUAUUCGAAUCAACCCUACCUUUGCUGAUGCCUACUCUAACAUGGGGAACACACUAAAAGAGAUGCAGGAUAUUCAGGGAGCCUUGCAGUGUUACACUCGUGCCAUUCAGAUUAACCCUGCAUUUGCAGAUGCCCACAGCAAUCUGGCUUCCAUUCACAAGGAUUUAGGGAAUAUUCCAGAAGCAAUAGCUUCUUACCACACUGCUUUGAAACUUAAACCUGAUUUUCCUGAUGCUUAUUGUAACUUGGCUCAUUGCCUGCAGAUUGUCUGUGAUUGGACAGACUAUGAUGAGCGAAUGAAGAAGUUGGUCAGUAUCGUGGCUGACCAGUUAGAGAAGAAUAGGUUGCCCUCUGUGCAUCCUCACCAUAGUAUGCUAUAUCCUCUUUCUCCUGGCUUCAGGAAGGCUAUUGCUGAGAAGCAUGGGAACCUCUGCUUGGAUAAGAUUAAUGCCCUUCAUAAACCACCAUAUGAACAUCCAAAGGACUUGCAGCUCAGCGAUGGUCGACUGCGUGUAGGAUAUGUGAGUUCAGACUUUGGGAAUCAUCCUACUUCUCACCUUAUGCAGUCUAUCCCAGGCAUGCACAAUCCUGGUAAAUUUGAAGUAUUCUGUUAUGCCCUGAGCCCAGAUGAUGGCACAAACUUCCGAGUGAAGGUGAUGGCAGAAGCCGAUCAUUUCCUUGAUCUUUCUCAGAUUCCAUGCAAUGGAAAAGCAGCUGAUCGCAUCCAUCAGGAUGGUAUACACAUCCUUGUAAAUAUGAAUGGUUAUACCAAGAAUGCUCGAAAUGAACUCUUUGCUCUCAGGCCAGCUCCUAUUCAGGCAAUGUGGCUGGGAUACCCUGGGACUAGUGGAACAUUUUUCAUGGAUUAUAUCAUCACCGAUCAGGAAGCUUCACCAGCUGAAGUUGCUGAACAAUAUUCUGAGAAAUUGGCUUAUAUGCCCCACACUUUCUUUAUCGGUGAUCAUGCUAAUAUGUUCCCUCAUCUGAAGAAAAAGGCAGUCAUCGAUUUUAAGUCCAAUGGACACAUUUAUGACAAUCGGAUUGUUCUGAAUGGCAUGGACCUCAAAGCAUUUCUUGAUAGUCUACCAGAUGUGAAAAUUGUCAAGAUGAAAUGUCCUGAUGGAGGAGACAAUGCAGACAGCAGUAAUACAGCUCUUAAUAUGCCAGUUAUUCCUAGGAAUACUGUUACAGAAGCAGUUAUUGAAAUGAUUAACAGAGGACAAACUCAGAUAACAAUUAAUGGAUACAGUAUUAGCAAUGGAGUGGCAACUACCCAGAUCAACAGUAAGGCUGCCACUGGAGAAGAGGUUCCCCGUACCAUUAUUGUAACCACACGUUCUCAGUACAGGUUACCGGAAGAUGCUAUUGUGUACUGUAACUUUAAUCAGUUAUAUAAAAUUGACCCUUCUACUUUGCAGAUGUGGGCAAAUAUUCUGAAGCGAGUUCCUAAUAGUGUGCUGUGGCUGUUGCGUUUUCCAGCAGCAGGAGAACCUAAUAUUCAACAGUAUGCACAAAACAUGGGCCUUUCCCAGAACCGUAUCAUUUUUUCAUCUGUUGCUCCUAAAGAGGAACAUGUUAGGAGAGGCCAGCUGGCUGAUGUCUGCCUGGACACUCCAGUCUGUAAUGGGCACACCACAGGGAUGGAUGUCCUCUGGGCAGGGACACCCGUGGUGACUAUGCCAGGAGAGACUCUUGUUUCUCGAGUUGCGGCUUCCCAGCUCACUUGUUUAGGCUGUCUUGAGCUUAUUGCUAAAACCAGACAAGAAUAUGAAGACAUAGCUGUGAAACUGGGAACUGAUCUAGAAUACAUGGAGGAGAUUCGUGGCAAAGUCUGGAAGCAGAGAUUAUCUAGCCCUCUGUUCAACAUCAAACAAUACACCAUGGAACUAGAGCAGCUCUAUCUACAGAUGUGGGAGCAUUAUGCUGCUGGCAACAAACCUGAACACAUUAUUAAGCCCAUUGAAGUCACUGAGUCAGCUUAAAGAAAAAUUAUGCACAGGCGAAUUACCCUGUACCUGAGCCUCAAAAAGGGAACUAGAUGAUGUACUUUUUACUUAUCUGUACAGUAUCACGUUGCAGAUGGGUGACAAGUAAUGAUAAUAGAAUAGCACAGCGGGACUUGCUUCCUGGGUGAUAGGGAGAGUCACAAAAGAUGGGAAACUGCUAUUCUACAAGAAAUCGCCAUAGAAUUUUUCAGCAACCAGGCUAUACAUAGGUCUGGAAGGUCUGCUCUCCAUUGGUCUUCCAUGGAAUGGUUAAUAUGGAGGGAGAUCAAGAUUGUCCAGUUGUUUUGUGAUUUCAUGGAUUGACUGAGUCUUCUGAAUUUUUUUCUUUAUAUUUGGGGUAUUAGAACUUUUAAAAAUGUUUGGUUUCAGGUGUUUUUGUUCAUGUGAAGUGUAUAUGAUUCUCUUUAGGGUAACGUUUUAAGCUAAAAUGUUGCUCCUUGUUUUAGUUUCUAAACUCUACAGAUUAGUGGGGAGUUUGCUGUUGUAGUCUUUUUAUACAUUUUAUAAACCACUUGAACCUAAAAAAAACACACACAAACAAAACUAAUCUCUGUUAGAACCCCAAAAGGAAUUUUGCCUUGCCCUCUAGCUGUACUAUGGCUCUGAGCAGAAGCAGUUCUCAUAAUUGUUUAGAGUCAUGAUGCUAGUAUAAUUGAAUUUCUGGGAGUAGAGAUUAUAUAAUUGUUUUCUGAAGUGAUAUAUAAAUAAAGAAUGUUUCUUUGA